rnacentral:lncRNA from 1 species
GGAGCACGAGUGGAGGCUUCCUGUUCUGUCUCUAUUCAUUUUCGCCCAGGUGUCUUUCGAAUCUCUCGGGAGAACCAAAAACUUGCCAAGCCGGACCGCUUAUUUCUUAGGCCUCUUCUGCCUGCGACACACCGUCUUUCUUUCAUUUCUCCCGUCGUGGCAUGUAUUGAUGAGCCAAAUACUUGCAGACAUCGGGUGCAUUGGUGGGUUUGGGCAGACAAAAUAAAUAUUGCCCUACCCUGGCGUACUUUUGUUGCGGGGUCGGUUAGCGAAGACAAGACUUCAUUUAGAAAGAUUAUUAGGCAGUGGCAGUGUGUUUCUGCGUGGUGGAAAACGUUGCACAAACGAGUUCCUGUCUUGGUAGCUGCUAAGUCUGGACAGGAGGAACAAGCGUUAAAGAAUGCGGAAAAUGUAGAGAAAAAGUUGAUGGUUCUGGAGGAUAUAUAAUAAUGAUAUUUGGCUUAAUGGAAGGAAUUAAGGCUUUCUUGAGAAAGCGAGGGUUUUACUCAGGUAAAUAUUACUGUAUUUAACCCAGAGAAAUCAUCAAAACGUUUAAAAGCUCCUUAAUGUGAUCCAAUCUUCGUUCUGGAACGUGAUCCUGCUUGAAAGAGAUUUACUAGGCCUUGCUAUAAUGUUUAUCUCUUGUUUGCAGCUUGGCUUGUGGAGAUGUUGAAGGAAAGUUCGAUGUUUUAUUCAAUAGAGUUCGGACAAUUCAGAAGAAAAGUGGGAACUUUGAU